UAGCAAUACGGCAGCGGCAGACGGGAGAGUAACACGUGGGAACGCGCCCUUCGGUUCGGGAUAACUCAGGGAAACUUGGGCUAAUACCGGAUACGCCCUUACGGGGAAAGAUUUAUUGCCGAAGGAACGGCCCGCGUCCGAUUAGCUUGUUGGUGAGGUAACAGCUCACCAAGGCGACGAUCGGUAGCUGGUCUGAGAGGAUGACCAGCCUCACUGGGACUGAGACACGGCCCAGACUCCUACGGGAGGCAGCAGUGGGGAAUAUUGGACAAUGGGCGCAAGCCUGAUCCAGCCAUGCCGCGUGGGUGAUGAAGGCCCUAGGG
rnacentral:rRNA from 1 species